GUGCCAGCAGCCGCGGUAAUACAGAGGUCUCAAGCGUUGUUCGGAUUCAUUGGGCGUAAAGGGUGCGUAGGCUGUGGGGUAAGUCUGGUGUGAAAUCCCGGGGCUCAACCCCGGAACUGCACUGGAUACUGCUUUACUAGAGCACUGGAGAGGGAACUGGAAUUUACGGUGUAGCAGUGAAAUGCGUAGAUAUCGUAAGGAAGACCAGUGGCGAAGGCGAGUUCCUGGACAGUUGCUGACGCUGAGGCACGAAGGCCAGGGGAGCAAACGGGAUUAGAUACCCCGGUAGUCC
rnacentral:rRNA from 1 species